rnacentral:lncRNA from 1 species
GGAGGAUGACAGGAGGGAGCCGUGCUCCAGGUGGAGUUCAUCUUGCUGAUGCCUGUACCUAAAACUCUUUGACAGCUGGAAUUACUGUUAAAAGAACUCAUCUGUAGUCCAGUGUGAGGAAGAAGCCACUGUUUCCAAAUAGGCCAGAUGGUUUCAUUUUCUACAGAGGUGAUGAAAUGUUUGGCAGUUGUGUUUCCACACUGGGUUGUUUUCACUUUUCCAAGUCCAGCUGAUGAAGAUGCAAGCACUUCUUGUAGGUAGAACUUACUGUCCUUGCUGUCUGCUAUGACAUGAAGAUUGGACUACAAGGAUUUUCAAGGAAGACCCUUCAGGGCUGAGUAAAAGACUGGUCAGGUUCAAUUUGCAUUGCGUUAGAUGAGGGAUCUGUGGAGAAGCCAAUGAUCUUAGUGGUGGAAGAUCAAACCCUGAGAGGCUGACUCCUGAAGGAGCUGGUGGGAUACCUGUCAGGCCCAGCUAUGUUGAAGCCUCACAACUCCACCUUUUGGUAUUGGAUGCUGAAGAGAUGACCUGUCUCAGAAAAAAGCAGCAAAGAACACUAAAAACAGGAAUGAGGUCUCUGACAACUUACCUGUUUGAGCAGGGCUGCAGAAUGCAGUUUGGAAGAACAGUGCUCCAUCAUUCAGGACGUGCUGGUUUGAAAGAAAGUUCUGUCUUGAGGUGGGACAGGAAAACUGCUGAAGCAUUACAUAGCCAGUGCUCAUUUUGCUUUUUUGUCUGAAGGCAGUGAUGUCCUCUUAUCCUAAAGCUAACAUCACUUCCAGCUUGCAAGUUAAGUGUAUAUGUGUAUAAAAUUCUAUAUGCCUUAAGAAACAGUACUGUCAUGGCAUGGGAGGUUUAUAAGAUAAGGAACAGCUCAGAAAGGGUUAAUGUGAAAUGUCUGUCUCUGACGCUUGUAGUUAAAAGAGCAAGGAGACAUAUAAUUACAUCAGUAGGUGGAAAGUUCAAAACAGUGGAGGUGUUUUUACAUACCAUGUGGAUAAUCUGUGUAACCCCUUGAGUCUGGAGGCAGUGAAUACUGCGAAUUCACAUGGCUUUAAAAAACCAGACAAAUUCAAUGAAGUAGCCAUCAGCAUCCAUUAAAUGUGAAGACAACAUCCCUCAUUCAGAAAGCCUCUGAGCUGCACAUUUCUGAUGCAGGGAAAGAUGACUUCCUGCUUCCCUGUAGUGCUGUUCAGCUGCUGCUGGCAACAAUCAGGAAUGUGGCACAGCACACAACGAACUCACGGUCUGACUCAGUAAAACUACUCUUGCAUUCUUAUGUCAUGCUACAUUAUUGAAUAGAAUCAGAGAACUACUGUAAAUACUCACUGCAGCUGAAAAAGACAAGGGGCUGGAGAACCUGCUCCACGACUCAUUUCUUUACUUUGGUUGUUCAUUGGAGUGGUUUUUAACACCAGAAAUGUUGUAGGUCUGGACCAUAAUGUAUUUCUUCAACUUUUGUUGGAAUCUUAAGGAAUUUUC